rnacentral:rRNA from 1 species
GGGGCGAAAGACUAAUCGAACCAUCUAGUAGCUGGUUCCCUCCGAAGUUUCCCUCAGGAUAGCUGGCGCUCUCGCAGGCGUUUGUAACCCCCCACGCAGUUUU